GUAAUUAUUUAAAUUUGCCCAUAUUACAUAUACUAAAAUUGGAAAAUUAGCAUGGCCCCUGCGCGACGAUGAUACGCAAUAUCGUGAAGAGUUCCACAUUUUU